AGGAUAUCAAGAUUUACUCGRAUAUUCUUGUCUGACCAGCAAGAAUAUUGGGGGGAUAUCAAGAUUUACUCGGAUAUUCUU
rnacentral:tRNA from 1 species